AGAGGCGAGAGGAGCUAAACCACCCGGUAACUGUAGUCACGGCCAUUGUGGCGAGGCUGCAGCUGAAAUAUAAAACUGUCACACCCCUCUUUAUGUGGAGAUUUACCAGGACACAGAUUCAUGGAAAAGGAACCUUGAGCAAAGCAGCUGAUCUAAAAUGAAACCACAGGGGCGUGAUGGUGAUUUCACUGUUAUCUAACGACAGUACAAAUUGUGAUUUGCUGACUACGUUAACACUUUAGGGAUGAAUCUGUUUUUAAUAGGACAGAGUACACAUUAUAGUCACGAUGUAGUUUGGGCAUGAAUUGUAUAAUUCUUCUUCAACAGAUAUACAGUUACAUCAAUAUUUCUGGAUUUCGUUAAAAAGGCUGCAAGUCAAUGCAAGUGCUAAAUUCCUUUUUGGUAGCAAUGCAACUUAUUCCAGAAUGAGUCAGCCACAGUUAAAGCCCAGCCCUGGUUUACAGCACUGCACGGGCUCCACCUGCAGGAGUGGCCAAAUGACUCUUUUGGACGACUCCAGCCCCAAUAGCAAACAUGGGACUGAAGGAGAAGAGAGAGACAAUUAGGGAUAAGGUUUGGGGUUUUUCAGAAAGCGCCAACUGGCUCAGCUGUCGGGAGGACGUCUCAGUGAAACAGCUGGACAGGCAAUUUUCCUUGUGGGAAUAAGAAGGAAUUAUGGAACGCCCCAGUGCUCCUUCACCUAUGGAAGCCACUGCCAAAACAAGAGGAAACGCUAAAGCGUUGAAGUCAGGCCUGGUCAAAUGUCGUCAGGAGGAGCUGACAACGCCUGCUCACUAGAAAGUCCUCAGGUCGUCUCGCUGGACACAUCUGGGUAACAGCUGGGAAGCCAUUGAAUCUACACAGCUGCAUAUGGUCUUCAUUCUUUUAUUUUUGAAUGGGUUAGUUUGUGUCGUGGCCUAUGAAAUAAACUGUUCCCUGCAUCAUUCUAUGAGACUUUAGACGGUAACUUUUCUUUUGUAUUCUCUGCUUACCAGGAUGUGUACGGCUCUUUCCUUUGUGCCCCUGCUCCUCUGGGUUGAAGUGGCCUCACUGUGCCGUUCUUAGUGUUUAUGUUUUGCCACUUAGUGACUAUCAGAUGACCACGCAAAGCAAGAGGAGCUGGAGAGGAGGCCCCCACAUCUAUUGGUUAAAGGAUGGCACACUUAGUGAGGUCACACUGAGCUCAUUGACACUGACAUCACAACAGAACAUAAGGCGCGACCAUAUUUGAAGCACAUCAGAGAUUGUAAAUGUCCGCGCUGUGUGUGUCAAAACAACACAACAUGGCCGUUUGUGCACAAGUGUAAAGCAGGAUCACAUUAGUGCAUCUGCGCCCAGUCUCACCUCUCCCAUUUUUGAACUCUGAGGCUGCAAAACGGACCAUGACCGAGCUGGAGCUCUCCAUUGGCUGCCAGCUAAAUCAGAUAAAGCCGACCCGAGUGUUUGAGAGGGGGAAUGGGCUUAGUUUCUUUUCCUUAAGAAAUGGGCCUGUCCCCUCCCUGUGAAGCAACAACAACCAAAUAAAUCAGAGACAUGCAGCAUGACAGACUCCAGAUUGUGGCACCCCAGUGAUACUAAACAUGUGCUAAUCAUUAGCCCCUGGCUUCCUGUUGAAGUCGAUGUCAUCAGCGCACACAUCCCGACAGACAGGACCAGCAUACAGAGCUGUUGCCUGGAAUCAGAAUGA